UGGGGAAUCUUGCACAAUGGGGGCAACCCUGAUGCAGCGACGCCGCGUGAGCGAUGAAGGUUUUCGAAUCGUAAAGCUCUGUCCUAUGGGAAGAUAAUGACGGUACCAUAAGAAAAAGCCCCGGCUAACUACGUGCCAGCAGCCGCGGUAAUACGUAGGGGGCUAGCGUUGUCCGGAAUCACUGGGCGUAAAGGGUUCGCAGGCGGAAAUGCAAGUCAGGUGUAAAAGGCAGUAGCUUAACUACUGUAAGCAUUUGAAACUGCAUAUCUUGAGAAGAGUAGAGGUAAGUGGAAUUUUUAGUGUAGCGGUGAAAUGCGUAGAUAUUAAAAAGAAUACCGGUGGCGAAGGCGACUUACUGGGCUCAUUCUGACGCUGAGGAACGAAAGCGUGGGUAGCAAACAGG
rnacentral:rRNA from 1 species